AUCACUUCUCGGCCUUUUGGCUAAGAUCAAAUGUAGUAUUUGCUCUUUUCAGUUUAAUAUAUGAUACGUUCUCUGAGGACAGCAUAUUAAAUGGAUUUUUGGAGCAGGGAGAUGGAAUAGGAAAUUACUCUGCCCACUCCACGUAUCGACCUGGUAUUGCAGUACCUCCAGGAACAGUGCAGCCCCU
ensembl:snRNA U2 U2 spliceosomal RNA